AUGAACGCUAGCGGCAGGCUUAAUACAUGCAAGUUGAGGGGGCAGCAUGAUAUACGCGAGUAUAUUGAUGGCGACUGGCGGACGGGUGAGUAAUAGGUAGGAGACCUACCUCAUACAGGGGGAUAGCAUAGAGAAAUCUGUGGUAAUACCCCAUGAGGUUAUAUGAAUAGAGGCAUAUAAUCAAAGCAUAAGUGAUUAUGCGGUAUGAGAGGGGCCUACUGACCAUUAGCUAGUUGGUGAGGUAAGGGCUCACCAAGGCGAAGAUGGUUAGGGUUUUGAGAGAGAGACCCCCCCACAUUGGAACUGAGAGACGGUCCAGACUCCUACGGGAGGCAGCAGUAGGGAAUAUUGGGCAAUGGGCGAAAGCCUGACCCAGCCAUGCCGCGUGAAGGAAGACGGCCUUAUGGGUUGUAAACUUCUUUACUACGCGAAUAGAGGUUAGUACGAGAUACUAAUAGGAAGGUAGUGUAGUAAAAAGCACCGGCUAACUCCGUG
rnacentral:rRNA from 1 species